AACGAACGCUGGCGGCAGGCUUAACACAUGCAGGUCGAACGCCCCGCAAGGGGAGUGGCAGACGGGUGAGUAACGCGUGGGAAUCUACCGUACCCUACGGAACAACAGUUGGAAACGACUGCUAAUACCGUAUACGCCCUACGGGGGAAAGAUUUAUCGGGGUAUGAUGAGCCCGCGCUGGAUUAGCUAGUUGGUGGGGUAAAGGCCUACCAAGGCGACGAUCCAUAGCUGGUCUGAGAGGAUGAUCAGCCACAUUGGGACUGAGACACGGCCCAAACUCCUACGGGAGGCAGCAGUGGGGAAUAUUGGACAAUGGGCGCAAGCCUGAUCCAGCCAUGCCGCGUGAGUGAUGAAGGUCUUAGGAUUGUAAAGCUCUUUCACCGAUGAAGAUAAUGACGGUAGUCGGAGAAGAAGCCCCGGCUAACUUCGUGCCAGCCGCCGCAGUAA
rnacentral:rRNA from 1 species